CACGCAGUCCUAAGGGCGCUGCUACAUGCAUAUCUGGGACUCAGACAAAGCAAAGGAGCACAGGGCCCAGGGCCCGUCCCUCACCUGUGUAGGGUGUCCCUGGCCUCCCUCCCUGCCCAGGACAGUGUGGAGGCUCUGGGAGGUCACCCCUUCGUCCUCCUCUUCUGCAGACCUCCGACUCCAGGACAUCAACCAGAAUAGCUGCCACCUGGUUUUUGAUCUGGGGUGCCUGGUUGGGCUCCUGCUUCCUUUGAACACAGCCAGUGGUGCCAGCAUGGACCAAUGCCCUUGGGGGCGCUUGGAAACGCCGGGCCUCGGAGGUAGACGCAAGCCUUCCAUACCAUCAGCAGUUCUAGAGGGCUGUGGCACCCAGGUCCCUGGAUUGGCACACCUGUCUUGGUUCAUCUCUGCACGAGUUGGGCAUCUGUGUAAAGAUAGGUUUUAGACAGCAUCUCUGUCUUUUCUCUUUGAGUUGAGCCUCUCAGCAAGUGGGCAGAGAGAAUGUUCCCUUCUGGGAGGAGGGGAAAACAUGGCUCAUCGGGGCAGUAUGGGUCAAGGCUUUCAUAAACACACACAUAUCACAGGACAUUCUUGUGUGUGAUUCUUAGCCCCCACCAAACUGGGAUUUAUACACACUUAAGAGAAACGGAGCUGAGGGCUAAGUGUGCUGGUGGCUAAGUGUGCUAAGUGUCUGGGGGGAGGAGGGUGUGUGCUCUGUGCUUGGGUGUGGUUGUCACCCUGUCCCCAUGCUGCUGU